rnacentral:rRNA from 1 species
CCUACGGGAGGCAGCAGUGGGGAAUAUUACACAAUGGGGGAAACCCUGAUGCAGCGACGCCACGUGAGGGAAGAAGUAUUUCGGUAUGGUAAGCUCUAUCAGCAGGGGAGAAAAUUACGGUACCUGAGUAAGAAGCUCCGUCUAAAUUCGUGCCAGCAGCCGCGGUUAUACGGAUGGAGCAAGCGUUAUCCGGAUUUACUGUGCGUAAGGGGAGCGUAGGCGGCCUGCAAAGUCUGUUGUUAAAUGCCGGGGCUCAACCCCAGGGGUGCAAUUGAAACUGGCAGGCUGGAGUACCGGCGAGGUAGGCGGAAUUCGUAGUGUAGCGGUGAAAUGCGUAGAUAUUAGGAAGAACACCGGUGGCGAAGGCGGCCUGCUGAACUGUGACUGACACUGAGGCUCGAAAGCGUGGGUAGCAAACAGGAUUAGAUACCCCUGUAGUC